rnacentral:rRNA from 1 species
GAUGAACGCUAGCGGCAGGCUUAAUACAUGCAAGUCGAGGGGCAGCACAGGUAGCAAUACUGGGUGGCGACCGGCAAACGGGUGCGGAACACGUACGCAACCUUCCUUCAAAUGGGGGAUAGCCCACCGAAAGGUGGAUUACUACCUCGUAACAUAGUGGAGUGGCAUCACUCUAUUAUUAUAGCUCCGGCGUUUGAAGA